rnacentral:lncRNA from 1 species
UUGACCGUUCAAAAGAUGGUCGGCUGUCCUUCGCUGACGAUCCCCCAGAAACCCUAGUCUGUCUCUACAGGUGGGCGACGAGCCGACGACCUACACAGCCGCCGCCAUUGCUGUGCUCGAUUUCCCAGCUAUCGCCGACCGCUCUCCACGCUCCCUAGACCCUUCUGCUGCUUCCGCGCCCGCGCCACCACUUCCCCUGCAACUGAGGUCCACUCCUUCCUUGAAUUGAGGUGAGAUUUUGGCUAACUUACGGCUUACCUAUGAGGAAUAGGCUGUGCUUAAAAUGGUCUAUGUUUCGAUCGAGUUUGUACUUUCUGUUUGCUCUUGUCCCGGUGAAAUCUUCUUAUAUGAGGGCUUACCAAUCGAUCUAUGUUGCUGUAUAAGUCUCUGUUACUCCUGGUUUCGAUGAAUGGACCGGGAAGGCUUCGCCUGCCUAUUCAUCAUCUAAAAAAAACGCUGUGCUUAUAAAAUACUCCCCUCAAGUGAAUAGUAACUUAUUACUGUAACCCGUACGCCUUGUAAUUUCUGCCAAGCACUGCUACGCAACUAUUACAAGUCAAUUCGUAGAGGCUAAUGAACAAUGGCUCACCGAAAAAUCCAUUGCUCCAGAGUCUUCUCGCAUACAUGAUUCAUGUCUGAAUACUACUGCCAGCCCCUAUGAGCAACUCUAACAGAUGUGCCUUAUUUGUGGCCUCGGAGACCGUUUUGGCGGGAGCUCCAUAAUUUUUGAGAGAUUGUGGAAGUUACAUGGAAACGCAUAAUUAUCAUAUGCAGCCUUCAUAAUAUUUUCCCUCUUCAUUUCAUUUUUGUUCAUGUGCAUUCACAAAAUAUUCAUACUUCCAAUUGGAGAGAUGAAGUUCUACCAACAUUUAAAUACAAAGUUCUUAUAUAAGGGGCGGGAGUGUCUGUAAGCGACAUUUUCAUACACAAGUGGAACGGGGAGAGGGGACCAACCGUUUUCACUUUUACAUAUAUGUAGGGGAUGAGGAUAAUUUUAGUAGUAGAUAGUUAUGAGAUGAUUAGUAGGGGUAGUGAGGACUAGGAGCACUUCUUGAGCGACCUAAUAGAUGUGGUCAUAUUCCCUUGCAACGCGAAAUUGCGAAAUAGCACCUUUCCCAGGCCGACCAUGUGCCGUUGUCGAUGUUGUGGGUGGCUUGCCCACAGCGCGUGCGGGGGGGGGGGGNNNNNNNNNNNNNNNNNNNNNNNNNNNNNNNNNNNNNNNNNNNNNNNNNNNNNNNNNNNNNNNNNNNNNNNNNNNNNNNNNNNNNNNNNNNNNNNNNNNNNNNNNNNNNNNNNNNNNNNNNNNNNNNNNNNNNNNNNNNNNNNNNNNNNNNNNNNNNNNNNNNNNNNNNNNNNNNNNNNNNNNNNNNNNNNNNNNNNNNNNNNGGGGGGGGGGGGGGUGUGACCCUAGAUGGCUCACUGCCUCUCCACUCUGUACCACCAACACACCGUCACCUUGUAGUCUAACCAAACGACACUCCUUUGCCGAUAUAGCCACCUCAUGGUCUGCCUAGAUACCGUGCUCCCUCUUCGCCGCUAACGAUCAUCCUAUCAGGUUUGACGGUCGACGAAGCCGUCGUGAAAGGCAUGUCAAUCCUCCCUAGCAGUGUGGAACCGGCGGGAAACAAGACGUUGUUGGGCAUACAUAUGACAUUGAGUGACCAAUAUCGUUGGAGUCGUUGGUACGUACUUGAGAAGGGGAUCAUCGACCUCAGCGUCAUCCUCGGAGUCAGCGUAUCUAGCAUGUCCUGGCAAUCCUACUCAUCCUCCUUGGCGAGAUCGAUCUCCUCCUGCACAGCCUCCUUGUCCAAUUAUUGUGCCUCCUCCUCUAUGGGUGGCCAUAGCACCCACUCUGUCCUUUGCCACAUUGGCAUGGUGAGAACAACAAUAGUAGUAUUCAGAUAAGGAAAGGGAGAAGGCCAGGAUAUAAAGUGAAGUUGUAGAUAGAGACGGAAGGUGCCGACCUCUUUAUAUCCAUUGGUGGCGUGAAAUGUCAUGCAUCAUUGAAAGGGGCGGAAAAAAUGUGGCAGGAACGAUCAUGGGUAGUUGGGAAGUGGCCAUGUGGUUGGAGAGGAAGGGAGGGGGUGGAGAAACAGAGAGACUUCCCUCCUGCAUUGGCGGUUGGGUUUGGAGUGUGCUCCAAAACAAUGGCCCAAGCACAAAAUAUGGAGCUAUGACCACAGUUUUGGAGGCUGAUACAACAAAUAUGGGGAACCAGAUUGAUGUAUCGACCAUGCUAGAGAGGUUUUGUCGAGAAUUCUUGCCAAAACAUUAGUUAUUACUUAUUACUAUUACAACAAUCAGCUCCUUUUGGCUACAAAUCACCACUCCUCGUACAUCCUAUGUGACUCCUAGAAAUAAUGAAAUCUUGACUAUUUAGACUCUUAUCCAACUCUCAUACCAACAAUCCCCAGUUCCCACAGCCGCCUCCCUCUGUGUCGGGCUUCCACCAACUACUUAUUGUACUACCUUGUCACCUCCAAUAUUCCACCCAUCGGAGGAGGUUGUGUCGAUGCUAUACUGAUCACCCAUCAUCACUUGCAUUUUAGACUCAUUUCUCUACUUUUUCAAAAUAUAAAUGGCAUAUAGUGUAUCCAUUAGAUAUCCAAUGGGUACAGGAUACGCGAUGGGUAUGGGUAUGGGCAUGGGUGUCAAUCUGUGCCCAUGGGUAAUGAAAUGAGUGGGUAUAGAAAGUUUUUGUGGGUAUGAGUUUGGAAAGAAGAGGGUCAUAACCACCCAUACCCUACCAUUGUCAUCCCUAAUUUAUUUUUAUCUGCAAUAAGAGUAUGGUACAAUACAAUCAAGUUAUAGUGCCUUUUCGUUGUGGUUGUUGUUGCUUCAAAUGCACCUAACUACGAAAAAGAUUCGAAGAUGAGAAACAUAUUAUUAAUAUACAUAAAAAUGUGUGGAACAGUAAUAUAUAUUGAAUAGCAUGUAGUAUAUGAGACUAUUAGGGGGAAAUUGUAGAAUGUCCAUAGUACAUGGAAAAGGAAACAACAACACACAACACCAAAGCUUUUCAAUCCCAAACCAUUUGGGAUAGGUCAGAUAUGAAAACCAUAAGAUCUUGAAACCAAUUCAUGGUUCUCACAUGUGGACAGCUAACUUCCACACACACCUUUCUAUUUCAUAAAGGAAACAAGAAAUUAAAGCCACAAUGCAAUAGAAAAGACAAUCAACACAAUUAAUUGGCUAAGUAGUAUGCUUUCAGAUAAUACAAUCAACACAAUUCAGUAGUUUCAUUGUUCUCAAGAACUUGGUGAAAAAGCAUAAUACACAACCGAAAAUUCAUAUAAAAUCUUAAAUUGGGCUCCCGCUGAUUUCUUUAUCCCAAAAUGUCAAAUAUCUUCAAUUCCAUUAGGAGCCUAUAACUUGAAAUAACUAUCACAUUAAUACAAAUCUUAGCAUAAUAUGACAAUUUUUCAAACAAAAAGUAAGACAAUUAUUUACCACUACGUUGUAGUUAUAGGAGGGUGAUUGUGUAGACGGCUUCUAUGAUUUCUUAGGCAAUGAAAUUAUUCUAUAAUGUUCUGGUCUACAAUUCUAGUAAAUAUAUCUCGUUCAAUAUAGCAUACGGUCAUAUCAUUCAAUCAUUCUCUACCUACGUUGUUACUCAAAUAUGUCUUUGCUACCAUGGCUGAGAGAGCGCUUCUAAUUGAUGGUCUCGCUAGUACCAACAAUAUCAUUGCAAGCUUGAUGAGUGUAUAAACCAGUGGAAAACACAGACACUCCUUAGUUUGAACUGACUUGAUACACAUACUUGAUAGACUAUCACAAGCACAAAAAAAUAGGAGAUGCUUUCAUCAUAUCAAUGCAUAUGCCAAGCUGACCACUCAAAAUUUCACAUUCUUCCACAUAAAAUUCAGCGUAGUAAAUACUUGCAAUCUCAAUUGCCUUCUCAUGAUUAAAGCUACUUAACGAGUCUCUAGCAUCUAGAGACGAAAUGCAAAUCAAUAACCAGGUUGUUAUUUCAAUGAAUCAUUGCAAAGCUACUGAAUAUUUUUACCUUGUACUGACGGAAGGUAGUGAUGGAAGCAAGUAAUAGACUUGCGUGAACUCAUUGGAUAACCCCUUGCUCAAAAAUCUCUUUGAAUGCAAUAUACAAUUAUAAAGUCCAUAAUUGGCUCACACUCUUCAUCCCUGAAAUUUCGCAAUAACCUUUUCACACACAAAAUCAUGUUCAUUGCACUAGCUAUGUGCUGGUCCUUUUGUUGCAAUGGUUUUGACAAAUAAUUAGCCAAACUAAGGAUAAUCAUCACGUGCAAGAUAAGCACAAUUUCAAAGACUAACAUUUAUUUGGUCAAACCUGGUGAUUGGGUUUAGAGUUCUUUGGUACGAUCCCCAACGUGUAUCAGCAGGUAUUCCUACAGUUGUCUCUUGUGGUUUUCCCCUGCCUUUCAUAAGAUCCCUAUUUUCCAAUAUUUUCAUAAUCUUGUCAUGAUGUUUCUGUAGGACUACUUUCGCAACAACUAGUGGAACCUACUGGUCAAAAGAAUGCACAUAAAAUGCAUGAUAUUGUCAUCUAGCACUAGUUCUGUUAAACCAUUCGGCCGCCCACAUAUAUUUGAGGUUCUAUCAUAUCCUGGACCUCUUAGUCUAGAAAUGGUCAAAUUAUGGGUAGAAACCACUUUAUCCACAUAUCGUUUGAGAGCAGCAGAUCUAGUGCCAAGAACAUGCUCUAACACAUAUAUAUCAGUCUUUCUAAGGUCUGCCAUUGAUUAAUGGUUAUUCGUAAACCUCACAAUCACAUCCUCUUCCUCCUUGAUCGAUUCAUCACAGGACUCAUCAACAAGCGAUAAUUGAGAAUUCCCAGCUCAUUCAUCAUGAAUUCAAUAGUUUCUUCAGCACAAGCUUGCACCAAUUGCUUUUGUGUAUCAUUACAAGCCAUUUGAUGACUUGUAGGAGCAUUCUCAUGGAUAACACCAGCUGCUUCUUUACAUCUUCAGCACACCAGUUUACAUGUCAUAAAUUAACCUUAUAUCUUAUAUUCUUAGACCCAUCAUGACCACAUAAAGCAGGACUGUGCCUAAGAAGAAACCUUCAGUCCUACAACAGCCAUCAAACGAUCCUGGUAUCUUAUUCCCAGUUUAAGUAGUGAUUCAUAUGCCACACUUUGUCUUUGAUUGUUUAAAUCUCCACAAUGUAUUAUCUGAAUUGUUGUAAUCACUCUUUGUUGAUCCUCCAUGGAAUCUGCAGUUUGUGAAUAUUCACCCUCAAACAUUCAACAGAUUGUUGGUUUCUUGAAAUGAAAAUGAUAAAAAAAACAAUAAGCAAUACUUUUGGCUACACUGAUCUCUAGCCAACCAAACUUCUUAUACCAUAUAGCUCUAAAUGCCCUGUCAUCUUCAUUGUGUUUAAAAUAAUGAUCUUUAGGCUGACAUGGACCUUUCUUGCAGACAUACCCUCCUGACAUCGUCUUUGAUUUCUAAGUAGCAUACUCUUUAAUUUGUUUCCUAAGGCCCAGAACAACUUCAAUGUCAACUUGAUUAAAUCUCUGAAGAACAUUAGCUUGCAAAUUGUUUGUAUCAGUCUCUUGAUUACAUUAGCUUGCAAAUUGUUUGUAUUAGCGUCUGGAAUGGUUGCCUUUACUUGAGAGAGAUUCUUGAAUUGGGGGUCCGGACUGAUUUACCAGGCGAACUCUGAGAAAAAGAAGGAAUGUGAUUCAUCUUCUUAGGUCCCUAUAACAUCAAAUUUGGUAAUUGCUUGUCAGCAUCCAACUUUCAAUAAUUAGGCAAAUGUGACAAGAAAUUUAACGAAUGGUGAAUGGAAGAAGAGGAUUCAGGGAGUGUGGAACAACCUGUUGCAUGCUGCCUUUGUUCGUUGGUUGCUUGCAAUUUUUAGUGGGUCGCAUGGCUGUGGCGAUGCUGCCUCCAGUGCAGACAACGGCCUGAGCAGGAACAGGUGGAGUUCCAUCCAUCCAGUGUCGUUAGCUCGACUUGGGCAACGUUGCGGUAAGGCGACGAGCUGGGGUGCGUGGUGGCCGUUACUGCCUGAUCGGUUCUCUGGUCGAUCAUCAUCUGGAAACCCACGUGUGUGUGUGCGCGCGCGCUUGCGGGGAGGGGGGGGGGUCAUGGCCGCAAGGUUAAUGGGCUCAUGUAACUCGGCAUUUACUGCCAAAUGCUAUGAAUUACUUGCUAGUCCAACCCACAAACGAAUCACUGUCUUCCCUUUUCUCAUCUUUCUGCUCACCAUUUCCUGAUCAGGAUUUACUGUUAGGUUCCAAGAUUUUACACGACCGCGUGCUAUAAUUCUACACCUAUUCUCUUCUUAUUUUCUUAUUUUGUUGAAAUUAAUAGUCAUAAAUAUCAUAGAAAAAGGCAGAAAGAAGUGGGUUUAUUGAUGUCAUUUAUGUAGUUGUAGACUGACGAUUGUGCGCUUUUGCAAGUGACUUAUACUUGGCGUUAUGCAUUUUUAGUAAUGCAGUGUGUGGUACUUUAUCUUUUAGUUUUGUAAAAAAGUAAAUAAUGGAUAUCCUGCGGUUGAUAAGACAACAUAUCCCUGCAAAUUAAAUACAGUUUUAUGUGCUUCCAUUGGACCUGCAUCAUGGACCAUAAAGUAUAUUUGUAUAUGCAUCCCCGGCCGAUAAAACUGUGUUUUUUAAUUCUUGUUAGCAUGGAUUCGGACCGAGAAGAGAUCAAUGUUGUGGAGAUAAAAGAUUACACGUCAGAUAAUGAUGAAGAAAAGGUUGCUAAAGAAAAGGUUGCUAAAGAAAAGGAUGCUGAAGAAGAGCAUCUCGAGUUGGUAGUUGAUCAAGCUACUGGUAAGGCCAAAUACCGAAAAAGGCUUUCGGGCGCUAGCAAGUGAGUGUUGUAUGCAAUAGAAGCACAUGAUAUUCUUGUGAUUGACCAGUGGUUGCUGGGUUUCGAUUGAGUUAAACUGUAUUUGGUAAUAAACAAAUAAAGUUUAGAUAGUGUUAUUUGACAGUUUUUUUCGUCCUCUUUGAGUGCCCUCUUAUGCUAAAUGAUUUAGAUAUCUUCUUACAAAUCAGUACUUGUUUCUUUUCCAAAAUUCUCGUUAAGUAGAAUAUGUACUCCUGAUAAUUAAAAUGGCUAAUUGUUAGGUAACAGAGCACCAUUUUAUGUAAGGUAUGAGGAUUGGAUGAUUAGCAAGAUAAAUGGUCAAACAGUAGUAUGUUUGCAGCUGUAUUGAGGUAGAAGCAAGAUGGGUGUUGAAAUGGAUUCCUGAACUUCCAAAUUUGAUUUCGACAUAGUGCAGCUUAAAGGAAAGCAAUACACCCUAGUUUUUAAAAUCUGAAAUAAAACUAUUUGCACAGUAAUUUACAUCAAGGUCGAUUCUGUGAGCCUUGUUUGAAAAAAUAUGCAAUCUGCUGGCGUAUUGGUUUUUAUAAGGUUGUCAGUUGUUGAGUGGUUGUUCACCAUUGGAAACUUGAGAAACAAGGACUCGGAAUUAGUCAAGAAAAGCUUAAUUUUAUUCUAUCUUGCAGGCCACUUCUAAGGCACGUUGCGCAUUAACUAUUGAAGGCCCAGUAGGAGGCCCACCUUUGGAUUUUAGCAUUUGACCCGAAACAAAUUUUAAGAAAUCCCACGAAAAAACAAUUAUAAACAUCACUAUCAGAUUCAUCUAUCCCACCUUCUUCUCCAAGGCCUUUCGCAGAUGACCGGCCGCAGUCGGCGUGCUUAACUUUUCAUCACCAUGAUCAGCCGCACACGCAUGAUCUGUUGGUCGCAACACCAGGGUCGUAUCCUCGGGGACGACGCACGACGCCCUGCCAUUCAUGGACGUAGCUAGGCUACCCAACCACAGGUCGACGAGUAUCUUGGGCUGGCCGCUGGUGCUGGUUGGCGGUGGCCCAUGCAUGACCUAAAUGCUUCCUUCUGCCAUUUACAUGCUAUAGCCCUUCUCACGGACCAACCUUGCGAGAUACUUCCUCUGUAAACUUUUAUAAGAACUUCUAGAUCACGUAGGGAGUACUUCAGAAGCAUACACAUCCUUGCAUGAACAAUUUAGACCGACUUGAUACAGUUUGCUCGCUGAUCUCUCUGUUCAUUAUCUCAUAUUGUUUCAUUUCCAAACGCACGUCGGCCAGCCCAGAUGGACGUAGCGUCAUUUUGAUGGCUCUGUGCAUGAUCAACCAACAGGAUUGUGCUCCUCUCCAUGUGAACGGAGGAUCCGAUUUGCUUUUAGAAAAACAGAGGAUCCGGUGUCUACCCCGUGCGUUCUCUUCUUCACAAGGAACCGCCGUCUACUCGACCCUCCUCCGAGUCCAUGUCCUGGUCUUGGGUCUAUUAGCAUGCUCAUAUAGUUAGCUUCUUUUAGCAUUCUCAUAUUGUCAAUUCCGAACCCUGAUGCUAGAAGUUUCAUACUGCUAAAAAUGAAAGAACCAAAUUGAAACCUAGACCUCUGGAUUUCCGCAGGUUACUAUGACAACAAAUGAAAGGAAUCUAGCUGGGUGAAAUAAGAUGAAUGCAUGGCAGGAUCGAUCGUUGGUACUUCUUUUUAUUGUGACCAUCACGUUGCGUAUAACCAUAGUUGGCAGCGUGCCAGCGUACAUGCGUCGAAUUGCCUACUUGAGCCAGCCAGCCUUUGGCUAACGACCAUCUGGGAUAUUGAUCGGCAAGCCGACGGACUUCAUGCAACAACAAAUACCAAGGAUCGGACAUGCAGAUCGUCUAUAGUACUAGAAAUUUGACGGCACAGCAAAAGUAAGGACCUGAAUUACAUAGCAUGGAGAAGGAGACAUGCAUACCCUGUUGGUUUUGGCGCCAAAGCUGCAUGGUCCGUGAGACCAUGACACAGGAGGAAGGUCAGGCCCGCCUGAUCAGGGGUACAACUCCGACUUCCAUAUGCGGAAGAUGCUUAUUGCGAGAGAAGCGAAUGCCGGAGCUGGAACUGACUAUAUCACCUGAGCUGAAGUCCUCUCUAUCUCUCUUUCUCCGUCGCCGGUUGGUGCUUGCCGACGGUCACAAUGCUUAUUAUUAUAUGUUACAGGCUUUGGCUAAGUGCGCCGCUGAUCGAUGUUCCACAUUGACAAAUAAUAUAUUAAAUUAUAGCCAUGUCUGAUGGGUGUAUCCUGUAUCGUAUGAUUGAAUGUUUCGUAAUCGCAGGAGCACAAUAUGCCCUUCUCGCUCACCCUGAUGAUCGAAGACGAUGCCAUCCGUGUCCUGAAGCGAGAGAUGUUCCACAAGUACUCCCUCUCUCCCAAAAUAAAUGUUUUGUUUUAUAUUAAUUUAAAAAUAAAAUUGUAUUAGAAUUCAGACACUUAUUUUGAGAUAGAGGGGUAUGUCUUUUUGUCACGCACUUGUAAUUUGUGGGCUUGUCGUGAAUGUUUUUCUUAUCUUGUGCGCCUCACUGUGAAACACAACACAUUUUUUACUUUUGCUGUAACCGACAUUUUCUAACACAACAGUUGCAAACGCUCGUAUAUACGCGCAUACACUUACAUUUAUCACUAAUAGAAAACAGACCUUUCGACCGAAGCAUCACUCCCGGUUGGCUUUUGGACAGGGACUAAUGCUGUCACUAGUCCCGGUUCAUGAGGCUAGGAUUUAAUCCCGGUUCGUGUUAUCAACAGGGACUAAAGGGGUGGUGGCAGGCUGGUGUCGGACUGGGGCCCUGCGAGCUCCUUUAGUCCCGGUUUCUAACUCCAACCUGGACUAGAGAUGGAUCUAUAGUCCCAGUUUGUAGUAUCAACUAGGACUAAAUAUAUCCCUAUAUAUAGAUGCUUCUCCCGGCCCGAGCUCAUCCUCUUCAUUCUCUGUUUUCUCUUCCCCUUCUCGAGCUCAUCCCUCCAUUUUUGCUAAAAUUUGUCAAGAUUUGAGGCACCCCAUUUAUUCAAGUGUUCAGAAAGGUUAGCAACUUUGUCCUUUCAUCUCUCAUUGCUAGAUUAGCUCGUUCAAUGCUCUAUAAGUAUAGUGAUUUAUGGAUUCUAGUUUGGGAGUAAUUAUGUGGGAGUCUAUUUGAUUUAUACACUAGUAAAAAACAGGGCUUUCGUCCCAGCUCGAUUUACACAUUAGUCUCGGUUUCAUUACGAACCGGGACUAGCAUUAGUCCCGGUUCGAGCGGCAAGGGCGUCGGUCGGGCAUCAGUCCCGGUUCAAAUGGGACCUUUAGUCCCGGUUCGUGUCUCGAACCGGGACUAAAGGGUUUGGAGGCUUUAGUCUCGAGACACGAACCGGGACUAAAGGGGUUCUGAAUUUUUCUUUUCGUUUUUGUUUUUAAAAUUGUUUUCUAUUUGUAGUUUCUGUUUUAAAUUGCUUAUAUCUUUUAGGAUAUUUGAUGUUUUUGAGUGAUCCUUUUUGUACUAGAUUCAAAAUUUUAUCUACUUUCUGUUUGUGCCAUUAGUUUUCAAAUUUCAAUGGUUUAAAUUUGAAUUUGUUCAAAUUUCCUUUUUACCCAGAUUGUGAAUAACUUGAAUUUACAAAUAGUUUUUAAUUUAAUUGUUUUUGCUCCUAGUCAUGUGUUAGAUUGUUGUCACAGUAAGAUUUAUUUGGUUAUUUUUAGAAUAAUCUAAAUGAUUAUUUUAAUUAAAACAAUAUUGUUUUGCUUAUAUAGUUGUUUUAGUCAUUUAAUUAUUUUUUUUAGUUAGUUCUUUCUGUAGAUUUUAACAUGUUGUAGUAUGGUGUAUACUGAAUGCACAAAAAGUCUGGAGUUGAAAUAAUUUUUAAAAAAUGCCUUUGUAGCAGAUGGGUCUUCAUCAGAAACCUUGAUACUUCAAAGGAGAUGAUCCAGUUUGUACACGAAGUGCAUCCAGUUUUUGUCGUAACCCUCUCAACUUCGUAGCACAUGCCAUGUGGGUGAAAUGAUGAUACCAUGACAAGUUUCAGCCUUUUUAGAGUUCAUUUGUAGCGCUUUUCAAUUUCAGGGUCAUUUUGCUCAAAAAAUCAUUAAAUGCAUGGAAAAUAGAAAAUGAGGCGAGAAAGGGUUGAAAAUUUAUGAGGUGGCUUUGAAUGAUGCAUAUUAAACAUACAAAAAGUAUGGAGUUGAAAUAAGUUCAAAAAAAUGAAAUCCCUUUGUAAGAGAUGAGUUCUCCUUCGAAACCCUGAUACUUGGAAAGAGAUUUUUCAUUUUGUACACGAAGUGCAUCCAGUUUUUGUCGUAACCCUCUCAAUUUUUUAGCACAAGCUAUGUGGGUGAAAUGAUGAUACCAUGUCAAGUUUCAACAUUUUCAGAGUUCAUUACAGUGCUUUUUAAUUUCUGAGUCAUUUAGAUGUAAAAAAUCAUUAAAUGCAUGAAAAAUUAGCAAAUGAAGUUAGAAAGGGUUAACUCUGGCUUGGUUAACCUUAGUUGUGACUCUGGCGGGGUGCUAGCAGAUGUAUUUGACGGGUAUGAUUGGACUCUUGGCUAAAUGGGGAUUUUGAAAUUUUCAAACUCUACGCCCCCCCCCCCCUCCCCGACCUUUUUUUAGUUUUUUAGAAAAUACACAAAAAAGAUAAAAUCUUCAAAAAAUAAAAUCCUUUGAGAUGUAGUUAGGUUUUAGUGUCUAGUUGGUAUAGAAAUUUUGAGAUAUGAAUUUUGACCUUUUUUGCAAAAAAAGAAAUAAAAAUGUAAAACGUCCAUAACUUUUGCAUACGACGUAAAACAAAUUUAAUAUAUCAAAAAAAACUAGAGAAAAAUUGGGACUCAAUUUCACCCGGGCUUGGGUGAAGUUUUCUGAGAUGCUCAAAAUUCCAAAUGUAAAAAAAGUUAUUUCAAAAAGAAGUUUUUUUCCAAAAAAAUAAGAAAAAAUAAUUUUAUUUAAACAUAAAUAAAUGGUGUCAUAUUUAGAUUCCUCACAUUUUUAUGAUAAUAAUGGAUAUAUUAUUUGUCGAAUUUCGAUUUACAUAUUUAAAGAUAUUAAUUAUGCCAUAUUAAAUGAAUAAAUGGCAAAAAAGAAUAAAAUAUUAGGUUGUUUUCAUUGAAAUUCACUAUUAUGAUUACUUUUUUUGUUUACUUUAAUAAUUGUUUAGAAUUCAAUAAAUUAAAUCAUGUGACAUGACAUCAAGACCCUAGGUUGUUUAGGAUUGAUAGCUUAGUAUUGUCACGAAAACAACAAGUGCAGACUUGGCAACUAGGGACGAUAGAACGAGAAAGUUAAGCGUGCACGGGCUGAAGCAGUGAGAGAAUGGGUGACCGGUCGGGAAGUUAGACGAUUUAGAAUAAGUAGAGAUUAAAUUGUCAAAUAAUUCAAAGAUUUGAAAAUUGGAAUAAAAUAUAAAAAAAUAUUCAAAAAUAAAAUUUGUUAAAAAUCAGAAAAAACUACCUUUUCGGGUUAAACAAAAUAAACAAGUGGAGCCUUUAGUCCCGGUUGGUAACACGAACCGGACUAAAGGUCCUCCCUCCACACUCGCCCCCAGCCCCGCCACGUAACUCGGACUAGCAUUAGUCCCGCUUUGUUAGCCCCGGUUCGUGAACCGGGGCUAAUGGCCCAACCGAACCGGUGCUAUAGCCCCUUUUUCUACUAGUGAUAUGUAAUCUGAGCUCAAAUAAACUUCUUAGUUUGCAUCUCUGUAUGUGUGGUUUACUUAGUGCCUUCCCGUCUCCGUCCUAAGCACUGUCGAUAGCCCGCACCGUCUCGUCGCCAGCACCAACUUGGCGAUCCUCUUGUUCUUAUCCUUUUUAUACAAUUUUUUUUAUUAAUUUGUAUGAUUUAGAUAGUUUUCUUACCUGUAUGAUUGUUUGUUAUACAUAGUGCCAUGGUCUUCAUAUCCGUCCCCGUCGGUCCUCGUCCC